UACGUACGAGGCGAGCGUUAUCCGGAAUUACUGGGCGUAAAGCGCGCGCAGGCGGAUUUGCAAGUCAGAUGUGAAAUCUCGGGGCUCAACCUCGAAACUGCGUCUGAAACUGCAAGUCUAGAAUGUCGGAGGGGGUAGGGGAAUUUCACGUGUAGGGGUAAAAUCCGUAGAGAUGUGAAGGAACACCGGAGGCGAAGGCGCCUACCUGGACGACUAUUGACGCUGAGGCGCGAAAGCGUGGGGAGCAAACAGG
rnacentral:rRNA from 1 species